rnacentral:rRNA from 1 species
UACGUAGGGUGCAAGCGUUGUCCGGAAUUAUUGGGAGUAAAGAGCUCGUAGGCGGUCUGUCGCGUCUGCUGUGAAAAUCCAGGGCUCAACCCUGGACCUGCAGUGGGUACGGGCAGACUAGAGUGCGGUAGGGGAGAUCGGAAUUCCUGGUAUAGCGGUGAAAUGCGCAGAUAUCAGGAGGAACACCGGUGGCGAAGGCGGAUCUCUGGGCCAUUACUGACGCUGAGGAGCGAAAGCGUGGGGAGCGAACAGG